rnacentral:rRNA from 1 species
UACGGGGGGGGGCAAGCGUUGUUCGGAAUUACUGGGCGUAAAGGGCUCGUAGGCGGCCAACUAAGUCAGACGUGAAAUCCCCAGGCUCAACCUGGGAACUGCGUCUGAUACUGGAUGGCUUGAAUUCGGGAGAGGGAUGCAGAAUUCCAGGUGUAGCGGUGAAAUGCGCAGAUAUCAGGAGGAACACCGAUGGCGAAGGCAGCUCGCUGGGACGGUACUGACGCUGAGGCGCGAAAGCGUGGGGAGCGAACAGG